rnacentral:rRNA from 1 species
GAUGAACGCUAGCUACAGGCUUAACACAUGCAAGUCGAGGGGCUGUGAGAGUGGCGCACGGGUGCGUAACGCGUAUGCAACUACCCAAUGCUGGAGGAUAGCCCGGAGAAAUUCGGAUUAACCCUCCAUGAGGAGCCGAUGGGGCAUCCCAAUGGUUUCAAAUAUUCAUAGGCGUUGGAUGGGCAUGCGUGCUAUUAGAUAGUUGGCGGGGUAACGGCCCACCAAGUCUACGAUAGCUAGGGGAUCUGAGAGGACGGUCCCCCACACUGGUACUGAGACACGGACCAGACUCCUACGGGAGGCAGCAGUGAGGAAUAUUGGUCAAUGGGCGGAAGCCUGAACCAGCCAAGUAGCGUGAAGGAUUACAGCCCUACGGGUUUAAACUUCUUUUAUAUAAGAGUAAUGUGCACUACGUGUAGUGUAUUGCAAGUAUUAUAUGAAUAAGCAUCGGCUAACUCCGUG